GAGAGUUAACAUGCCCAGAACAGUGAAAGAAAAAGCUGCUUUUAUGUGAACUUCUGCAGACUGUGAACUUCUGAGCCCCUCCCCUUACAUGCUGGGUAUAAAACUCUGAAACUCCCUGAACUCGGGGUUCAGGGGAUUGAUUGAUUACAGCAAAGGCUGUGCCCUCUGAACCUGGCUGCAGCCAAAUAAAACUGUUUCCUGC
rnacentral:lncRNA from 1 species